UCUGCAAAUCACACUAUCUGA
rnacentral:piRNA from 1 species